UGGCAGGGAGAGGAGCGUGGAGCGGCGUCGCUUGCCAGACUGACAAAAGGAUGUGCCUUUGUGGUGGUCUCAACAGAUGACCACAUCCUGGUAGAGAAGUGCAUUCCUAAUAUUGGGGCAGCAGGGGUCCUUUUUAAAAAAUGUUGGAGUGUUUCUUGAAAAUCCUUGUGCAGAAGAGAGGCAGUGCAGGCAUAAAACUGAAUGUGGCCUGGGAUGCUUUGGCGAAGAAGACACUGAACGUCACCAGCAUUUUUCCAAGAAAGGUUGAGUGGAGACAUGGUUCCAG